rnacentral:rRNA from 1 species
ACCGUGAGGGAAAGGCGAAAAGAACCCCGGCGAGGGGAGUGAAAAAGAACCUGAAACCGUGUACGUACAAGCAGUGGGAGCACAGGUUUACCUGUGUGACUGCGUACCUUUUGUAUAAUGGGUCAGCGACUUAUAUUCUGUAGCAAGGUUAACCGAAUAGGGGAGCCGGAGGGAAACCGAGUCUUAAUUGGGCGUUAAGUUGCAGGGUAUAGACCCGAAACCCGGUGAUCUAGCCAUGGGCAGGUUGAAGGUUGGGUAACACUAACUGGAGGACCGAACCGACUAAUGUUGAAAAAUUAGCGGAUGACCUGUGGCUGGGGGUGAAAGGCCAAUCAAACCGGGAGAUAGCUGGUUCUCCCCGAAAGCUAUUUAGGUAGCGCCUCGUGAAUUCAUCUCCGGGGGUAGAGCACUGUUUCGGCUAGGGGGCCAUCCCGGCUUACCAACCCGAUGCAAACUGCGAAUACCGGAGAAUGUUAUCACGGGAGACACACGGCGGGUGCUAACGUCCGUCGUGAAGAGGGAAACAACCCAGACCGCCAGCUAAGGUCCCAAAGUCAUGGUUAAGUGGGAAACGAUGUGGGAAGGCCCAGACAGCCAGGAUGUUGGCUUAGAAGCAGCCAUCAUUUAAAGAAAGCGUAAUAGCUCACUGGUCGAGUCGGCCUGCGCGGAAGAUGUAACGGGGCUAAACCAUGCACCGAAGCUGCGGCAGCGAACGUAUCACUUAAAGCGAUUCAGCGGGUUACGAUUGACGGAGCGAAGCGACGUCAAAGCGUAUACAAAGUC